rnacentral:rRNA from 1 species
AUGGAUCUUAUGCCUGAGUUCGAUGCCGACCCUGUGGAGGAUGAUUUCUAUGGUUUCAGAGACAAUGAGAUCCAGAGGGUUGACAGUAACCAGGCGGAGCUUACCCUUCCGGCCGGCGGCAGCGUCAAUGAGGUUGAGAUGACUAAACAUGACCUCGACAGUGACAAGGAGACGGUUCCCCUUCCGGACGGCAGCAGUUUGGAGCCCAACCCUGUGGAACAGGAUGUCAUUCCUGUUGCCGUACAAGAGGUGGAGGAUCCUUUUGUUGCCCCUCCUGAGGAAAUUGCGCCCCCUUUUAUCUUUGAGGAUGGUGGGAGCACUGAUGUUGAGGAAUAUAUGCUUUGUGCCGAGGAGGAUGUUUUGCUGUAUGCUCAGCGUCUAUCUUUUAAUAACAAGCUCCCACCAUUUUGGCUGGAAAGGGUAGAGGUGAUGCUUACACAGGCUGAUGAGUCAGGUACUCACGCUGACGAGCUGUUGGCAGAAUAUGACAUGCUGGUGCAGGAAUUGGAGCUUGAGAUGGGGUUUCAAGAAGAUCAGUUCUCCGCACUCACCGUUAGUAUGAUUGUGCAUGCUGAUGAAAUGAAUGUACUCUCCAAUGAAUUGUCUGUGGAGACAAAUCGUCACCUUGGUAAUCUGGAUAUUAUCUUUCUUGAGCAUGAGAGGCUGGCCAUUCAGGAGGAUUUUCAGCUAGUGCUUGAAGAUUGCGAUAGGCUCGACAAGGUUGCUUUGGGGCUGAGGAGGUGUGCUGCCUAUUUGACUGAAUGUGUGCAAUACUACCAGCAGCUGCAGGACGGAGAAGAGAAGGGUGACGAGGUUGAGUUUCUUCCACAAGAACAAGAGGCUGCUGAAGUUGUUCUUUUGGAGUUCAAACCAAACGAAGACGAAGAUGAAGACUGGUGGCCGGAGAAUCCACAUUCAGUGCAACAAGUGAAGGAGAAGCAGACUCUGGAAGAGGAGGAAGAGGUUCCUGAGUCAUGGGAAGAUCGCCUGUGA